CCUGGCAUUUGAGCCCGUGACCCGCAAACCCGCCCGAAAUCCGCACGGUAAAAGCCCGCACGAACCCGCCCAUUUAUUAAAUUCGUGCUUAGAAAGCCCGCACGCAAAAAGCCCGCAAAUUAACGGGCCUUGCGUGCUAAGCCCACUGGAACCCAUUGGAACCCGUUUACUUCCAAACAAACCCACUCCGACCCUUUCGACUCAGCAACUCUCUCUCUGUGGAACGCAACCCUGAAUCUGAGCAGUGAGCACAGCAGCCUCCCAUUCAUUUCCGUCACCCAAAUCCCAACUCUCUCUCUCUCUCAUCUCUCUCUGCGCGCCCAAUUUCUCAAGAUUUCUGGGUUUCUGAUCUAAUCAUGUCCAGUUUCAAAGCUUCUGCAAUUUGAAUUUUGUUGCUGCAUGUUUAGUUAAUUGAACACCCAUGCCAGUUGACAAAGAGAUGGAAUUUGAAUAUGGUUGUACUGUUGUAGCAUGUUUUUGUUGUUUAUAUGAAGAACUAGAAACUGAAGGAUCCAGAUGAGUUUAUGAGAUUGGUUGAAGUUUUUGUGCUGAGUUUCCUUGCCGUGAUGGAUGAUCUGCAUAGAGUGUGGUUUCUGCUUAUUUUUAGUUGUUCGCUACUUUAUUUUCUGUUCAGGGUACCGUAGAAGCAUGAAUUGUGCUAUAGAAGGUCAUAGGAAACGAGAAGGGAGAGGGAAUUCAUGAUUAUAUGUGGUGAAAUCGAAAUUGAUCGUGAGGUUAUUGCUGGAACUGAGAUAGUAACAUAAUGAGUCUGUUAUGACACACAAAUUCGUCAUGUAUUGUUUAAAGGGGGAAGUAAUUUUAAGAACUACAUGUGGUUGCUUUAGUGCUUAUUCACUGUACAGAAUGCAACAUAAUAGCUUCCUUUAGCAUGGUAUAUAUUUGGUUGAUGUGGAAUUUUAUGUUGA